ACUGAGGCUCUGAGUAAUACCUGGCUCCCAGCAGCAGAGGGGAGCAGUUGGUGUUCCUAGCCUGGUCCCUGUGGAACCAACAGUUGGCCUUACUGGCAGUGUGGGAGUGAAGAAUCCUUUCUCUUUCAGGACCAUCAGGCCCUGAAACCAAUGCCUUUCCAAGGAAACUCUAUGGAAGGGCCUUAGGCUUCAGACACCUCAGCUCACUCCCUGUGUUCCCCACCUCCACUCCCCACCCAAUGUGGUAUGUGCUGUUAUCUGUGUGGUGUAGAAGCCAGAGGUCAGCUUUGGAUGCUGUUCCUCGGAUGCUGUGCAUUUUUGUUGUUGUUUGUUGUGCUUAUUAAAAAUUCAUUAAUUUCUAUUGCGUGUGUAUAGGUAUUUUGACUACAUGUAUGUCUGUGUACCAUGUGUGUGCCUGGGAGGCCAGGAGAGGGUGUUAUAUCUGUCCUCAGGAACUGAGGUCACAGACGGCUAUGAGUAUUAUGGGAACCAAACUGGGGCCCUCUAGAAAAGCAGCCAGUGCUCUUAACCACUGAUCUGCCUCUCCAGCCCCCACUGGGUUUUUUUUGUUUGUUUGUUUGUUUGUUUUUUGAGACAGUCUCUCACUGGGACCCAGGGCUCACUGAUUAUGCUAGGCUGGCUUCUCAGCCAGGCCUAGGGAUCCAUCCAUCUGCCUUUCCAGGAGUGGAUUUACAGGUGCAUGCCACCAUGCCUCCAUCCUUUAUGGGAACCGGGAUCGAAUAUUGGGCACCAUGCCUUCUGGCAAGCCUUUAGCGACUGAGCUGUCUUCCCAGCUUGAAGUCGAGCUAUUAAACUGAGAUGCUUCUGGGGAUGGCUCGGGAGACUUAGCUGUGUGAGCUAGGACUAGCAUCAGUUUUGUGGCCUGAAAGAUGCUUUUCUAGGCCAUAACACAAAGGAGAUAAACUUGGUUUUUCCAGCUGGUGCAGUGCAGCUGGUUUCUCACUAGACACACUGCAAGUUAAACUGGAAGUCAUGAGUAAGCACUCAACAUACGUGUUUCAUCAGACAUACCCAAAGAAGAAUCAGACUGUGAUAAGCAGAAGGCGGAGUCCUUGAGGGGCCCAAAGCAGCACAGGCGAUUGUGAUAUCUCAGGCUUCUGAGGAGAGUGGAAGGCGCCAUGGAGGCUGCUGGGGCAGGGAAGACACCGAAGUCUUGCCCGGUGCUGGAUCCUGCAUGCCAUAGAACACUGACUAAUUAGACAGCUUGUGCCCGUUGCUGUGAUAGUGGUGCUAUGGUUAUGGAGGUAACCAACCCUUUUGGAUUGUAUCUGCAGCCUGCUCCACAGGAAGAAUUUCAUGUCUAGUACCGCCACCUGGCCAAAAGCCCAGGACUGUGGAGGUCAUAAGCUUUUGGUAGGAACCUACUGAUUUUGUUUCAAUAAAUGUUCAUAAUGUCAAA